rnacentral:rRNA from 1 species
ACGGGUGAGUAACGCGUGGGAACGUACCUAAAAGUGGGGGACAACUCUCCGAAAGGAGAGCUAAUACCGCAUGUGAACGCAAGUUUAAAGUCGCAAGACGCUUUUAGAUCGGCCUGCGUCCCAUCAGCUAGUUGGUAGGGUAAUGGCCUACCAAGGCUACGACGGGUAGCUGGUGUGAGAGCAUGACCAGCCACAACUGCACUGAGAUACGGGCAGUACACCUACGGGUGGCAGCAACCGGGAAUAUUGGACAAUGGACGAAAGUCUGAUCCAGCGACUCCGCGUGAGGGAUGAAGGCUUUAGGGUUGUAAACCUCUUUUGUAUGGGAAGAAAAAAAUGACGGUACCAUACGAAUAAGGACCUGCAAACUACGUGCCAGCAGCCGCGGUAAUACGUAGGGUCCGAGCGUUAUCCGGAUUUAUUGGGCGUAAAGAGUUGCGUAGGCGGUUAUGUAAGUCUAUUUUUAAAGCCCGAAGCUUAACUUCGGAUAUGGAGUAGAUACUGCAUGACUUGAGUAACAGAGGGGGAGAUGGAAUUGUUGGUGGAGCAGUGAAAUGCGUUGA